CCUUUUCCUCCCUCAACGUCACUUUCACAGAAGCUCUCUCAUCUCUCAUAUCUCAUUGACCCAAGUUUUCUCCUUCUAUCAGCAUCAUACGACAAGCUUGUCGUCGGUCUCUCCCGGCUCCGAUCUCGCGUGCCUUCCUUGCCGUCGUCGUCACUGGCGGCAGUAGCAGCAGCUCCUGGACCUGGACGUCGUCGCCGCUCCGUGUCUUGUCACUGCCUCGUAGUCAGUCUCGCGCCGUCAUUGCGCCCGUCGACGCCGAGACAGAAGCAGCAAGUCCCCGACUUCCUCCUCGCCUUUAGCAACUCCUCGGCCUCCUUCGCACAACCUGGUCCCAAUCUGAAUUAGAAAGAAAACGAGUCUGGGUGCAAUGGAUGUUGAUUCAGAACCACUCAAUUCAGAAGAGAAUGUUGAAGAUUGCUUGAUGACCGAUGUGGAAGAGAAUGUAAAUUGCACUUGUGAUUGCGGUUGCAGCAGUAGCAAGUGUGUUGUUGUGACGGCCGAUGAUAUUAUAAACCAGACAUUUGAAACAUCGGAUGCAGCUUAUCACUUGUAUGUGCGUUAUGCAAGGUGUGUCGGGUUCGGAGUUCGCAAGGGUGAUACAGCGCGUGGAAAAGAUGGAACACAACGCAGAAGGCAAUUUUUUUUUGCAACAAGGAAGGAAAGAGAGCCGAUAAAUACAUCUCUAAUUUGAACAGGAAGAGGGAGCAUAAAGCGCUGACUCAUACGGGUUGUGAAGCCAUGCUUGCGGUGUACUUUGACACCAAAACUUCAGCUUGGAGAGUUAAAAAAUUAGUUGAGAAGCACAACCACGAUCUUGUCCCCCAAUGCUUGGUACACCUAAUUCCAAACCACUGUGGGAUGAAUGAGGCUCAAAAAGCUCAGGCAAACACCAUGCACGAUAAUGGUCUUCCAAGCGCUAAGAUAAUGGGACUAAUGGUAGGCCAAGCCAGGGGUUAUGCUAAUGUCGGGUUCACAAAGAAGGAUCUGGAUAACCACAUUGAAAGAACUCGUCGUGCAAAGCUCAUUGGUGGGGAUUCUAAUGCAACAAUUAGCUAUCUACUUGGAAAAGCCGAUGUUGACCCCAUGGCCAUGGCAAGGUACAGUGCUACUGAUGAAAGUCGGCUGGCGAAUUUAUUUUGGGCAGAUGGCAUUUGUAGGGCGGAUUAUUAGUGCUUUGGAGAUGUGCUUGCAUUUGAUACAACCUAUCGGAAAAAUAAGUACAGAAGACCGUUGGUUAUCUUCUCGAGUUGUAACCAUCACCGUCAAACAUGCAUAUUUGUCUUUGCCUUGAUAGAGAACGAACAAACGGUAACAUAUACGUGGUUGUUGCAAAACUUUCUAGAUGUCAUGCUGAACAAGUCUCCUAGUGUUGUGGUCACAGAUGGUGAUGAGGCAAUGAAGGCAGCAAUUCAAGAAAUCUUCCCAAAUGCAACUCACCAAUUAUGUGGUUGGCACAUUCAGAAAAAUGUAACGGCAAACAUAAAAAGCAAAGGUUUUUCCGACGAAGUUGAGGAUGAGGAUGGAGCUUCAGCAGCAGUAGCAGCUGAAGAUCAAAAUUGGUCGGGUUUGGAAGGUGUCACCCGAGAAAACUCAUUGGUCCAACUUCCUAGAUUUUCUGAGGAAAAGCAAAAGCAAGCCUCAUAGAAUAUUUAUUGGUUUGAUGAGAACAUUAUAAAAUUGUAAUACCUUUGUCAAAACAGGGAAUUCAAGGAGGAAAAUCUUUCAGUGGUUUUGAUGCUCUUUUAUUUAGUUACUCAAGUGUAAAAAACUAGGCUCAAGUUAUGUCACUAAACGAAAUGAAUUCAGCAACAACAUAAUGCUAUUCUUGUGUUUUUUUUU